UACAGAGGUCCCAAGCGUUACUGAGAAUCACUGGGUUUAAAGGGUGCGUAGGUGGUCCGUUAAGUCAGUUGUGAAAUCCCCGGGCUCAACCCGGGAACUGCUUCUGAUACUGGCGGACUUGAGGCUAGUAGAGGUCACUGGAACUGACGGUGGAGCGGUGAAAUGCGUAGAUAUCGUCAGGAACGCCGGUGGUGAAGACGGGUGACUGGGCUAGUUCUGACACUGAGGCACGAAAGCGUGGGGAGCGAAC
rnacentral:rRNA from 1 species